rnacentral:lncRNA from 1 species
UUUUUUCUUUGGGUGAUAUGAAGAAAUUUACACCGUUUUUAUUUAUUUAUUUAUUUGGUUACAUUAACAAUUUCAAAGCAAUUCAUCGAACUCAUUAUUUAUAUUAUUUUAUUUAACAACAUACGGAUGAAUCUUAUCACCACAUAGAAUAUGUAAGUACAUAAAUGAAUUACAUAUAUCAGAGACUUAAAGUGAAGACGGGUGUCUUUUGUGUUUCUUUAUGGUUAGCUUGAUUUUAU